GACGGAGUUAUGCAUGGCUUGUUCACAGAUGACACCGUGGUAAAUUUUAAUUUAGAGCGAAGAGCAGGCAAGUUCCCACUUGUUGGUCUUAAAGAGACUGAGCUCCUCUUUGAUAUUUUACCAGAAAAAUCGAAGGAGGACGUUCGCACUUUAAUGCGAAAAUACAUAACUUUAAGUCAUAAUAGAAAUAAU